rnacentral:rRNA from 1 species
UACGAGGGGGGGCAAGCGUUGUUCGGAAUUAUUGGGCGUAAAGGGUGCGUAGGCGGUUUGGUAAGUCUGAUGUGAAAUCUAUGGGCUCAACUCAUAGUCUGCAUCGGAAACUGCCGGGCUUGAGUGUGGGAGAGGUGAGUGGAAUUCCCUGGUGUAGCGGUGAAAUGCGUAGAUAUCAGGAGGAACACCUGUGGCGAAAGCGGCUCACUGGACCAUAACUGACGCUGAUGCACGAAAGCUAGGGGAGCAAACAGG